rnacentral:lncRNA from 1 species
AGCGGUGAUACAUCUUCCAAUGAAGAAAUAGGAAGUACAAGAGAUGCAGAUGAGAAUGAAUUUCUAGGGAAUAUUGACGGGGGAGAUCUGAAGGUACCUGAAGAAGAAGCUGACAGUAUUUCAAAUGAGGAUUCAGCCACAAACAGUAGUGAUAAUGAAGACCCUCAAGUAAACAUUGUAGAAGAGGACCCUUUAAAUUCUGGAGAUGAUGUUAGUGAACAGGAUGUGCCAGACCUGUUUGACACGGAUAAUGUUAUUGUCUGUCAGUAUGAUAAGGCAUUCCCAAGAAGGACAUCGUUUAACACCUAAACUCAUUUAACAAAGGAUCCGAGAAGAACAGGGACAGUGUGGGAAGAAAUCUUCUUGUGAUGGCAUAUUUGCUUCCUAUAUUUCUUCUGGAAUCAUGUUCGCUUGGCUUCCUGAUUAAAAACACAGUUUUAUUGCUCUCUGCACUGCCAAACCAAUAAAUUUACAGAAGAGAAAGCUGUAUUCCACUGUACCCCUUGCAGCAUCAAUAAAACUGACAGCCAAA